rnacentral:rRNA from 1 species
GACGAACGCUGGCGGCGUGCUUAACACAUGCAAGUCGAACGGAAAGGCCCUGCUUUUGUGGGGUGCUCGAGUGGCGAACGGGUGAGUAACACGUGAGUAACCUGCCCUUGACUUUGGGAUAACUUCAGGAAAGUGGGGAUAAUACCGGAUAGGAGCUCCUGCUGCAGGGUGGGGGUUGGAAAGUAUCGGCGGAUGGGGAUGGACUUGCGGCUUAUCAGCUUGUUGGUGGGGUAGUGGCUUACCAAGGCUUUGGUCGGUAGCCGGACUGAGAGGGUGACCAGUCACACUGGAACUGAGACAGCGGCCAGACUACUACGGGAGGCAGCAGUGGGGAAUAUUGGACGAUGGGCGAAAGCCUGAUCCAGCCAUGCCGCGUGUGUGAAGCAGGUCUUCGGAUUGUAAAGCACUUUAAGUUGGGAGGAAGGGCAGUAAGUUAAUACCUUGCUGUUUGGACGUUACCAACAGAAUAAGCACCGGCUAACUUCGUG